GUAUGGAGCAAGCGUUAUCCGGAUUUACUGGGUGUAAAGGGUGCGUAGGCGGGCGUAUAAGUCAGUGGUGAAAUCCUGGAGCUUAACUCCAGAACUGCCAUUGAUACUAUAUGUCUUGAAUAUGGUGGAGGUAAGCGGAAUAUGUCAUGUAGCGGUGAAAUGCAUAGAUAUGACAUAGAACACCUAUUGCGAAGGCAGCUUACUACGCCUAUAUUGACGCUGAGGCACGAAAGCGUGGGGAUCAAACAGGAUUAGAUACCCUGGUAGUCCACGCCCUAAACGAUGAUUACUCGACGUGUGCGAUAAACGGUACGCGUCUGAGCGAAGGCAUUAAGUAAUCCACCUGGGAAGU
rnacentral:rRNA from 1 species